ensembl:snoRNA
AUCCUUUUGUAGUUUAUAGGCGUGAUGACUGGGUUUUCAGGCACAUGGGUGAGCUGUACCUCCCACAAAUUUUGUUACAAUGUCAGCACAUUACCCAUCUGACA